rnacentral:lncRNA from 1 species
UCCUAAUUAAAAUUUUAAUUGAACCUUAAUCAAAUCUUAAGUCAAAUCCUAAUGAAAUCCUAAAUAAAUCCUAAAUCCUAAACAAAUCCUAUUCAAUUCCUACUCAAGUUCAAAAUCAAAUCCCAAGCAAACCCUAAUCCUAACCAAUUUGUAGACAAAUCCUAAACCAAAUCUUAUAGCAAAUUGGAACCUUAACAAUUAAUGAUUGAACCGUUAAUAUCAAUUCAAAUUUUAUAAACUUUUUAAUAUCUUAAUUAAAAAUAAGCACAAGAAAGAUGAAAUCAAUCGCACUUACUAAUUAAAAAAAAUAUAAGAUAAUCUAAUCAAGUAUUAAGUGGCCUUCUACUUCCAUCUAAAUUCUAAACUUCCAACAUCAAUAUGUCAUUUUUGAACCGUUGAAUUAUUCCCAAAAUUUACUUAAAAUGUUAGAAAUUGAAUCUAAUAUUCAAAUAAAAAAAACUCACUUCAAUCCAAUUGAUAGAUUGCUGAAGAACUUAGAAAUACUCACUUAUCUU